AAUUUUAACAUUUUAUUAGGCUAGUGCAAAAGUAAUUGUGGUUUUUGCCAUAAAAGCAAUGGCAAAAACAGCAAUUAUUUUUGCACCAACCUAAUAUUUU
rnacentral:miRNA from 10 species